UACGUAGGGUCCGAGCGUUGUCCGGAAUUACUGGGCGUAAAGAGCUCGUAGGUGGUUUGUCGCGUUGUCCGUGAAAACUCACAGCUCAACUGUGGGCGUGCGGGCGAUACGGGCAGACUGGAGUACUGCAGGGGAGACUGGAAUUCCUGGUGUAGCGGUGGAAUGCGCAGAUAUCAGGAGGAACACCGGUGGCGAAGGCGGCUUUCUGGACAGACACCGACGCUGAGGCACGAAAGCUAGGGGAGCAAACAGG
rnacentral:rRNA from 1 species